rnacentral:Y_RNA from 1 species
GGCUGGUCUGAUGGUCGUGGGUUAUCAGAAUUUAACAUUAGUGUCACUAAAGUUGGUAUACAACCCCCCACUGCUAAAUUUGACUGACUUUUC